UUGAACGCUGGCGGCAUGCCUUACACAUGCAAGUCGAACGGUAGAGGGGCAACCCUUGAGAGCGGCGAACGGGUGAGUAAUAUAUCGGAACGUGCCCAGUCGUGGGGGAUAACGCAGCGAAAGCUGCGCUAAUACCGCAUACGAUCUAUGGAUGAAGGCGGGGGAUCGCAAGACCUCGCGCGAUUGGAGCGGCCGAUAUCAGAUUAGGUAGUUGGUGGGGUAAAAGCCCACCAAGCCGACGA
rnacentral:rRNA from 1 species